UACGUAGGGGGCGAGCGUUGUCCGGAAUUAUUGGGCGUAAAGAGCGUGUAGGCGGUUCGGUAAGUCUGCCGUGAAAUCCUGGGGCUCAACCCCGGGCGUGCGGUGGAUACUGCCGUGCUUGAGGACUGGAGAGGAGACUGGAAUUUACGGUGUAGCGGUGAAAUGCGUAGAUAUCGUAAGGAAGACCAGUGGCGAAGGCGGGUCUCUGGACAGUUCCUGACGCUGAGGCACGAAGGCCAGGGGAGCAAACGGG
rnacentral:rRNA from 1 species